UAAGUGCGAUAAUUAAUGUGAAUUGCACAAAUUCGUGAAUCAUCGAGUCUUUGAACGCAUCUUGCGCUUUCGGGACAACCGAAAGCAUGGCUGUUUGAGUGUCGGAAAUAAACUCUUAUCAUCAUGAUGAGGAAGUGAGGUUCAGAGGCUUCGCCAGUGCUUGCUGUGCCGUAGACAGUCGUCUACCGCAGCAUCGCCGGUACGAGUCUGUACCUUGAAAUGCAGACACCGAAAGUCUCGCUGUGCUUUCACAACCUAAAGUGAGGUAAAAGACAGUCGUCUUUCAAUCACUGAUGGGCCUGUGUUAUCUGCCGGCUUGACGUGAACUUUGGUUAAGCGGACGUGCUGGUGUGCUGCAGCUGUGGCUGCCACGCUUUGUAGCCGUUCAUUCUCAAUAACGACCUCAAAUCAGCCAAGAAGACCCGCUGAACUUAA
rnacentral:misc_RNA from 1 species